AAUCAACGCUGGCGGCGUGCCUAACACAUGCAAGUCGAACGAGAAAGCGGGGGCAACUCCGUGAGUACAGUGGCGACCGGGUGAGUAACACGUGACCAACCUGCCCUCGAGUGGGGAAUAACUCCGGGAAACCGGAGCUAAUACCGCAUAACAUCGCAAGAUCAAAGCCGCAAGGCGCUUGAGGAGGGGGUCGCGGCUGA
rnacentral:rRNA from 1 species